CGAAGCUGCGGCAGCGACACUAUGUGUUGUUGGGUAGGGGAGCGUUCUGUAAGCCUGCGAAGGUGUGCUGUGAGGCAUGCUGGAGGUAUCAGAAGUGCGAAUGCUGACAUAAGUAACGAUAAAGCGGGUGAAAAGCCCGCUCGCCGGAAGACCAAGGGUUCCUGUCCAACGUUAAUCGGGGCAGGGUGAGUCGACCCCUAAGGCGAGGCCGAAAGGCGUAGUCGAUGGGAAACAGGUUAAUAUUCCUGUACUUGGUGUUACUGCGAAGGGGGGACGGAGAAGGCUAUGUUAGCCGGGCGACGGUUGUCCCGGUUUAAGCAUGUAGGCUGAUUAUCCAGGCAAAUCCGGAUAAUCAAGGCUGAGGUGUGAUGACGAGGCACCACGGUGCUGAAGUAACAAAUGCCCUGCUUCCAGGAAAAGCCUCUAAGCAUCAGGUAACAUCAAAUCGUACCCCAAACCGACACAGGUGGUCAGGUAGAGAAUACCAAGGCGCUUGAGAGAACUCGGGUGAAGGAACUAGGCAAAAUGGUGCCGUAACUUCGGGAGAAGGCACGCUGGUGUGUAGGUGAAGUCCCUGCGGAUGGAGCUGAGACCAGUCGAAGAUACCAGCUGGCUGCAACUGUUUAUUAAAAACACAGCACUGUGCAAACACGAAAGUGGACGUAUACGGUGUGACGCCUGCCCGGUGCCGGAAGGUUAAUUGAUGGGGUUAUCCGUAAGGAGAAGCUCUUGAUCGAAGCCCCGGUAAACGGCGGCCGUAACUAUAACGGUCCUAAGGUAGCGAAAUUCCUUGUCGGGUAAGUUCCGACCUGCACGAAUGGCGUAAUGAUGGCCAGGCUGUCUCCACCCGAGACUCAGUGAAAUUGAACUCGCUGUGAAGAUGCAGUGUACCCGCGGCAAGACGGAAAGACCCCGUGAACCUUUACUAUAGCUUGACACUGAACAUUGAGCCUUGAUGUGUAGGAUAGGUGGGAGGCUUUGAAGCGUGGACGCCAGUCUGCGUGGAGCCAACCUUGAAAUACCACCCUUUAAUGUUUGAUGUUCUAACGUUGGCCCCUUACCGGGGUUGCGGACAGUGUCUGGUGGGUAGUUUGACUGGGGCGGUCUCCUCCCAAAGCGUAACGGAGGAGCACGAAGGUUAGCUAAUCCUGGUCGGACAUCAGGAGGUUAGUGCAAUGGCAUAAGCUAGCUUGACUGCGAGCGUGACGGCGCGAGCAGGUGCGAAAGCAGGUCAUAGUGAUCCGGUGGUUCUGAAUGGAAGGGCCAUCGCUCAACGGAUAAAAGGUACUCCGGGGAUAACAGGCUGAUACCGCCCAAGAGUUCAUAUCGACGGCGGUGUUUGGCACCUCGAUGUCGGCUCAUCACAUCCUGGGGCUGAAGUAGGUCCCAAGGGUAUGGCUGUUCGCCAUUUAAAGUGGUACGCGAGCUGGGUUUAGAACGUCGUGAGACAGUUCGGUCCCUAUCUGCCGUGGGCGCUGGAGAAUUGAGGGGGGCUGCUCCUAGUACGAGAGGACCGGAGUGGACGCAUCACUGGUGUUCGGGUUGUCAUGCCAAUGGCACUGCCCGGUAGCUAAAUGCGGAAGAGAUAAGUGCUGAAAGCAUCUAAGCACGAAACUUGCCCCGAGAUGAGUUCUCCCUGAGACUUUAAGUCUCCUGAAGGAACGUUGAAGACGACGACGUUGAUAGGCCGGGUGUGUAAGCGCAGCGAUGCGUUGAGCUAACCGGUACUAAUGAACCGUGAGGCUUAACCUU
rnacentral:rRNA from 1 species